UACGGAGGAUCCAAGCGUUAUCCGGAAUCAUUGGGUUUAAAGGGUCCGUAGGCGGUUUUGUAAGUCAGAGGUGAAAGCCCCGCGCUCAACGGUGGAACGGCCAUUGAUACUGCAAGACUUGAAUUAUUGGGAAGUAACUAGAAUAUGUAGUGUAGCGGUGAAAUGCUUAGAGAUUACAUGGAAUACCAAUUGCGAAGGCAGGUUACUACCAAUAUAUUGACGCUGAUGGACGAAAGCGUGGGGAGCGAACAGG
rnacentral:rRNA from 1 species